AUUCAAUAAAUGAGUCCUACUCCUACACCUACUCUUAUCACUUGUAAUCCAAAAAAGCUCCAUUUCUUUCUUAUACGCUAAUUCACUAUUAAAUAGAAAUGUAUAUGCAAAACAGCGAGAAAUUUGUAGAUACGUUGAAUGUUGUUGCUUUCACAUUUGCAACUCUUAGUAGUUGUUCAAAACAACAAUGUCGAGCAAAGAUGUUUGCGAUGUUUGAAUGAUUCUUGGAUUGUAUUUGGAUUCCAUCGGUACUAUGGCCUGUUGAUUCGGCACCUUUGUCAUUUUAGCAACUUUUGUUUUCUUUUCUGUGUCGAUGUAGUUCUCUAUACCAUAUUCAUGUUCAUAUUCAUGUUCAUAUUCAUGUUCAUAUCAAUGUCCAUAUCAAUGUCCAUAUCAAUUUCCCAUGUUCCAUUACAUAUCCCGUGUUCUUUCCUUCUUCCAGCUUUUACAUGCUAGCCUUUUAUACAAUGAUUCCUCUCAUCUCGACUCGCUUGAUGAAUGGGCGUUUAGUUUUUGCAACAACAUAUGCGUUGGGUUAUCUCAUAUCGGGAAACACUUUCUGCCACUUUUAACUUGAACAAAGUUGGAGAAAUAAAGUGAUGGCAGAUAUUGCAAGUUGUUUAUAGUGUGCCUGUAGAAAUGUAAAAACGCUAUGUUUCGUGAAUGCCCAGCCUGUAAAUCGAAAUAAGAUUUCGUAUUUAUUAAGCAUUGGAAAGAUCACAAUUGGNAAAAAACACGNAUACGGNUGGUCUCUUCACAGUCGUUCUCCAGU
rnacentral:sRNA from 1 species